AUCGGGGUGGUCAACGAAUAAAGUCUCCCAUGACUGGCAGUUGUGCUUACUUGAAUCUUUAAAAUAUUUUUGAGAUGAGCUUUGAUAACGAUGACAUUCACUUUACAUUUAUUCAAAAACCUUGUUUUCUAAGGAGACACCACCACUAGUUUACAAUAGGAGAAGGGCUUCAGGGUGGGUCGUGCUAAAACCUCCCGUAGAAAUGAAUCUUGGGGCCAGCCUAACGGGGUUGUACCGAGCUAAGAGUGAUUGGAAGAGACCAUCCCUUCAGUCAGUGCCAAAACUACCCCAACCAAUGAGAAAGUGAUUAGAGAAGAAAAUUGAACGCCAGUUAUAUGCUUGUAGACUUCACAGUGGAGGUGGAGGCGGCCGAGGAAGAAGACCUGGAAAGCAGCCUGUAAAUAGACCACAGCAGCAGAGAAACCACAAGCUGGGAAUUAAAGAGAACAUUUUAGGCCUGUUAUAUCCUUUUCAGCUCUGAAGAGUUAUGAGGGAAAGAAAGAAAUCAUACCAGGAUGUCAAUGGUGUAUUAUACAAUAAACCUGGUGGACCUGGCGGUUGUGAUUCAUCAGCAGGAGGCGGCGGAUCCAUCACUGAUGGAAUGAAGUCGAGGAAGCCAAUAUCUUUGUGGUGAAGAAAACUUAGUGAGGAGAGCUUUAAGCUUUUUAGGGAUAAACAUUUCCUGUUCAAUAAAUUACACUUUCCCUUUGUU